UACGAAGGGUGCAAACGUUGCUCGGAAUCAUUGGGCGUAAAGCGCACGUAGGCGGCUCCAAAAGUCGGAUGUGAAAUCCCUGGGCUCAACCGAGGAAGUGCAUCCGAAACUGCGGAGCUUGAGUAUGGAAGAGGGUCGCGGAAUUCCCGGUGUAGAGGUGAAAUGCGUAGAUAUCGGGAGGAACACCAGUGGCGAAGGCGACUUCCUGGCCUGUUCUUGACGCUGAGGCGCGAAAGCUAGGGGAGCAAACGGG
rnacentral:rRNA from 1 species